AUAGUUAUGAAGGGAUGUAUGAAAAUUUAUUCAUGCCUUAAUUCAUUCAAUAAGGAUUUAUUAGCACUAUUAUGUGCCAGAAUAGUGCUAAGUGUUGAGAAUACAUGAAUGAGUAAACAACAAAAAUAAAAUUUCUGCCUUCAUGAAGCUUAUAUUUUAGUUCAGGGGAAAGGCAAUAAACAAGUAAUAAGAUAUAAAUAUGUGCUAUGGAGAAAAAUAAAGGUGGAAUUCUGAGUUAACCUUAGUGGCUUGUUAUAAGUAAGUCUAAUAACAAAAUUUAGUAGAAAUGAAACUGCAUGAUGCCUGAAGCUAGGUCAGAAUACACCAUGCCACUUCCUUUUAUUUUCUUGGAAUGGCCACUCUGUGGUUGCUUUCUCAUGGGAUGUUCCCUCUGGGAACUCAUGCUCUGGAGACCCCAAGCUACAGGGAAAGGCUAAAUGUAAGUGCUCUGGUCAACAUUCCCCAUUAUCCCAGUCCUUUGAGUCAUUUUGACCCUGGUGCCCAACAUGUCAGUGAAGAUGCCUCCAUAGAACUUCAGUGCUCAGGCCUGCAAGUUACCUCUGGCCAUUUGAGUCUUCCCAACAGAGGCUCCAGAAAAAGAAACAAGAUGAAGUUACUGUGCUCCCUCAAUUCCUGACCUACGGAAUCCUUGAGCAUGAUAUGUUUGUUGUUCUAUGCCAUGAAGAGUAGUUUGUUUUGCAGCAGUAGAACCUGUAACAAGGGUCAUAUCUCUAUUCCUUAAGGUCACAUCUGGAAGAAUGGCCAUGAUUUGCUUCAACAGGCUCUUUUAUGUCACUUCUUGUUGUAGCAUUUAGAAGGCAAUUAUGAGGUCAUAUAGCAUCUGGGAAAAGCCUGCUUGUUUUAUGCCCCGGCAAGGGUAACACAAAAGCUGUGCCUUGCUUUUGUGUCAACUAUCAAUGACUUGGGGGACCCCAAACUUGACUCAUUCAGUGUCAUUAAGGUGAACCUGUCUUUAAAGGACUCAUCAUAAUUAACAUCAUAAAAGACUAAUAUAUUAAACAGGUUGCCUACUUAUUAACUUAUAGUGAUUUACAACAUAGUAUGAACUAAGAUACUCAUGUUGACUGCUCUGCCUAUCAUCUCCGUUCAGAAAUCUCUAUUCAGGUAGUCAGAUUGUUCAGAUACCAUGAAAUUGGAACAAGAGUUGUCUGAUAGAUUUAAACAGCUAAUAAAAUUAAGCUGUGAUAAGCUAAUUAUCCAUUCCCAUAAGAGGUACGAAUCUCUGACAGUACAAGAAAUUGAAUUUAAUUGGCUGGUUACUCCUCUACACAGUACUAGACUCAGAAACAAAAAAGGAUUACCAAAGAAUCUAACAAGUUAACAAUAAUGUGUGGACUUGAGGCGCUCUCUUCUUUAAGGUCACUGCUAAACCAGAUGUGUGCUAUCACCAGAGACUUUAUUCUGUUCUAUAAUCCUAUUGGAAAACUUUUGGAUCUGUUCCUUAUCACAUUCUGGAAGGAAUUCCAGGAAACAUCUUUGAAACAGGGGAAAAAUGACAAAAGCAGAUAAAGAAUCUCAUGAGAGCAUUUUAGCGAAAAAAUAAAGAGAAAAUCCCACAUAUUUUGAGUAGUCUAAAAUAUCUUGAUUUUAGUUUGGGAUUUUUACUACGAUUGAGCAAUAGUACUAAUAAAACCAAUCUGCUGUACUUCGUUUGAUCCUUGCAAGAGAGAGGAGGUUAUUCGCCUAAUUUACAGACGUAUUAACUGAUGCUCACAGAAUGUGUUUCACUCAAAGCAGGUGAGGUUAAGUAUUCUGACUUUCUAAGCUAUUUCCACGUCACUAAUCUGCUUUAUAUAUAGUAAAACUAAAUUAUCUUUUUUAACACGAAGUAGAAUAUUAUGAAUUAAAUUAUGAGGCAAGACAAUAACCAAACCACAAAUCAGCACUAAAUGUUUGUGUCUUAGGUUGAUUGAAUUAUGUGAUCCUAAAAAUGCUCAGUUUAAUAUAAUGUGCCACCUAAUAAAACUUUUUAAAUUGAGGCUAAUGCAAAGAGAAAGCUUUAUUAAA
ensembl:lncRNA